UGGAUCCAGACUUUUGAUUCUGGCUCAGGAUGAACGCUGGCGGCGUGCCUAAUACAUGCAAGUCGAACGAAACUUCUUUAUCACCGAGUGCUUGCACUCACCGAUGAAGAGUUGAGUGGCGAACGGGUGAGUAACACGUGGGCAACCUGCCCGAAAGAGGGGGAUAACACUUGGAAACAGGUGCUAAUACCGCACAACCAUGAACACCGCAUGGUGUUCAUGUGAAAGGUGGUUUCGGCUACCGCUUUCGGAUGGGCCCGCGGCGCAUUAGCUAGUUGGUGGGGUAAAGGCUUACCAAGGCAAUGAUGCGUAGCCGAACUGAGAGGUUGAUCGGCCACGUUGGGACUGAGACACGGCCCAAACUCCUACGGGAGGCAGCAGUAGGGAAUCUUCCACAAUGGGUGAAAGCCUGAUGGAGCAACGCCGCGUGGGUGAAGAAGGUCUUCGGAUCGUAAAACCCUGUUGUCAGAGAAGAAAGUGCAUGAGAGUAACUGUUCAUGUUUCGACGGUAUCUGACCAGAAAGCCACGGCUAACUACGUGCCAGCAGCCGCGGUAAUACGUAGGUGGCAAGCGUUAUCCGGAUUUAUUGGGCGUAAAGGGAACGCAGGCGGUCUUUUAAGUCUGAUGUGAAAGCCUUCGGCUUAACCGGAGUAGUGCAUUGGAAACUGGGAGACUUGAGUGCAGAAGAGGAGGGUGGAACUCCAUGUGUAGCGGUGAAAUGCGUAGAUAUAUGGAAGAACACCAGUGGCGAAAGCGGCUCCCUGGUCUGUAACUGACGCUGAGGUUCGAAAGCGUGGGUAGCAAACAGGAUUAGAUACCCUGGUAGUCCACGCCGUAAACGAUGAAUGCUAAGUGUUGGAGGGUUUCCGCCCUUCAGUGCUGCAAGUUAACACAAUAAGCAUUCCGCCUGGGGAGUACGACCGCAAGGUUGC
rnacentral:rRNA from 2 species